GAGCCGGUAGCUCAGCUGGUAGAGCAACGGACUUUUAAUCCGUAGGUCGUGGGUUCGAGACCCACCCGGGUCA
rnacentral:tRNA from 1 species